ACCAAGCCCACCUCACGAUGAUACGAUGUUGGCUAGCAAAAAUAAUAAUGAGAGGGUACAAUUACCCAUUCAUAACAACCUCUUGUGAUUACCCAUCUUUUUGGCCUCUAGAGAGCAAUGCCUCACUAUGAUACGAUGUUGGCAUCAUUUCUCUUAGUUAAGUUCUUUCCCACCAUGCUGGUUUAGAUAGGGGUUCAAGCAUAACCUCACGAUGAUACGAUGUUGGCCACACUCGUUGCCUACCUUAACCUCAUCAAAUGUUUUAAAUAAACUCCUCCUGAGUAUAAGCAUGCACUUUGCAAUCCCCCAUGAUAGGGUGAAGGCGAUGUACAAGUCAUAAACGAUUGGAGCCUACCACGGUGGAAGGCCAUGAAAAAAUGUUCAAAGCACUCUUACACUUUCAACUUAAUAUUGUAUGUUGGUUGAGGGAUUUUUAAGGUCUCAUCAAUUUUUAUUUAUUUAAUCAUAUUCAAAUAAAUAAUGUCCUAUUACAACUACUAGUCCAAAGUUAAUGAAAUUAGUAGUAUAUGAUAUCCCCACUAUUCGUUUUCAUAAAACAAAUCAAUAUCAAAACAUUUUUCAAAAUAUUGGAGAUAUAUAUAACUACUAAUUUUAUUCAUUACAGUUUAGUAGCGUAUGAUACUCCCACUAUUUGUUUUAAGAAAAACAAAUCAAUAUCAAAAACGAAUUUUCAAAUAUUGGAAGUAACUACUACUACUAAGGUUUUUGCAUUCCUUUGAAAUUGGACUUUAUAGUUAU
rnacentral:lncRNA from 1 species